rnacentral:rRNA from 1 species
AGUGAACGCUGGCGGUAGGCCUAACACAUGCAAGUCGAACGGCAGCACAGUAGAGCUUGCUCUUCCGGGUGGCGAGUGGCGGACGGGUGAGGAAUACAUCGGAAUCUACUUUUUCGUGGGGGAUAACGUAGGGAAACUUACGCUAAUACCGCAUACGACCUACGGGUGAAAGCAGGGGAUCUUCGGACCUUGCGCGAUUGAAUGAGCCGAUGUCGGAUUAGCUAGUUGGCGGGGUAAAGGCCCACCAAGGCGACGAUCCGUAGCUGGUCUGAGAGGAUGAUCAGCCACACUGGAACUGAGACACGGUCCAGACUCCUACGGGAGGCAGCAGUGGGGAAUAUUGGACAAUGGGCGCAAGCCUGAUCCAGCCAUACCGCGUGGGUGAAGAAGGCCUUCGGGUUGUAAAGCCCUUUUGUUGGGAAAGAAAAGCAGCAGGUUAAUACCCCGCUGUUCUGACGGUACCCAAAGAAUAAGCACCGGCUAACUUCGUG